GCUUGAGAGAGGAAGAUAAAAGGGGUACGGAGGACUAAAACACUUCCACAUGUAAGGGGAGAGAAGAGGAAGCCGGCUCAGUGGAGACGGAGCAGGACCUGCGUUACUGCGUCCUGGGGGAGAAAGAGUUUCAAAGGGACAGGCAUGGAGUUCUGGCUAAUACCUCACUGCGGGAACAGAGACGUGAUACACCCAUAAAGAAGAGCGGAGCAAGGGACACAGCAUUCCUUCCAGAUGGGCUUUGGGAGACAACCAUGGGGCUCUGAUAUUGGAAAGAGAACGCAAACAGCAACUGCAGCUUGUCUAUUAACAUCCUGUGAAAACUACCAAAAGGUGCACUCAUUUCACAUGCCAGCAAGAUGAUGCUCAAAAUCCUUCAAGCUUUAGCAGUAGAUGAACCAAGAACUUCCAGAUGUACAAACUGGAUUUAGAAAAGGCAGAGGAACCAGAGAUCAGAUUGCCAACAUCCAUUGGAUCAUAGAAGAAGUAAGGGAAUUAAAAAAAAAAAAAGUCUACUUCUGCUUCAUUGACAGUACGAAAGCCUUUGACUGUGUGGAUCACAACGAACUGUGGAAUGUUCUUAAAGAGACAUGAAUACCAAAUCACAUCACCUGCCUCCUGAGAAACCUGUAUGCAGGACAAGAAGCAACAGUUAGAACCAGACAUGGAAAAACAGACUGUUUCAAAAUUGGAAGACAAGUACGUCAAGCCUGUAUAUAGUAACCCUACUUAUUUAACUUAUAUGCAGAGUACAUCCUGUGAAAUACCGGCUGGAUGAAAGCACAAACUGGAAUCAAGAUUGCUUGGAGAAAUAUAAACAACCUCAGAUAUGCAGAUGAUAACCACUCUAAUGGCAGAAAGUGAAAAGGAACUAAAGAACCUCUUGAUGAAGGUGAAAGAGGAAAGUAAAAAAGCUGGCUUAAAACUCAACAUUCAAAAAACUAAGACCAUGGCAUCUGGUCCCAUCACUUCACGGCAAACAGAUGGGGAAAAUGUGGAAACAGUGUCAGAUUUCAUUUUUUUGGGCUCCAAAAUCAAUGAGGAUGGUGACUGCAACCAUGAAAUUAAAAGACGCUUGUUUCUUAGAAGAAAAGCUAUGACAAACCUAGACAAUGUAUUCAAAAGCAGAGACAUCACUUUGCCAGCAAAGGUCCAUAUAGUCAAAGCUAUGGUUUUUCCAGUAGGCGUGUAUGGAUAUGAGAGUCGGAUCAAAAGCACCAAAGAAUUGAUCCUUUUGAAUUUUGGUGCUGGAGAAGACUCUUGAGAGUCCUUGGACAUCAAGCAGAUCAAACCAGUCAAUACUAAACGAAAUCAACUCUAAAUAUUCAUCGGAAGGACAGAUGCUGAAGCUGAAGCUCCAAUACUUCGGCUACCUGAUGCGAAGAACUGACUCAUUGGAAAAGACCCUGAUGCUGGGAAACAUCGAGGACAAGAGAAGAAAGGGGCAACGGAGGAUGAGACGGCUGGAUGGCAUCACAGACUCAAUGGACAGGAGUUUGAGUAAACUCAGGCGUGCUGCAGUUCAGGGGGUUGCAAACAGUCAAACACAAGUUAGCAACUAAACAAAAACAGUGAGGUGAAAUCACAUUAAAGACAAUUUUAAAUUUGGGAUGAGGCACUUGCAUAUAACCCAACAGUGAUGAGAAGUUAUUACUCAUGCAGGAUGGACUGGAGAGGAAAAGACUGAAGAGAGAGAAACUGAGAAACCAUUAAAGUUGUGCACAGUUGAAGUGAUGAGAGCCUGGACUGGACUUUAUAAUAACCCAAAGGAAGGUGAUAAGAAAUACCACAUGAAGCAAAAACUGUAGACUCAGUGACAGACCGGAUUUUUAGAGAAGCAGAAAUCAAUAAUGACUGCAAACUUGUAAGUAUGGUGGUGUCAUUGGUGGAAGCAAAGAAAUCUAGGAAGGGGAAUCAAUAGAGUCGGGAGAGAACCCUAAAAUCCCAGCUCUCUUUCCAAGAUGUUUCAGUAAUAGCACUGAUUAUAUCUGAGUAUGUUGUUAGUAAGCAUUCAAGCAGAGGCAUGUUUUAAAAUCAGCUGAAUUGUUGAAGUGAGGCUAGAAGGCGAAUGAGAGGAUCAGAGUUAAACGAUCUGUCUGGGAUGGGUGUGGGAGUGAACUCAUGCCUAUGGUUGAGGGAGCUAUAGGGGAAUUCAGUCCUAAUCUGGCAAGUGGUCCACUGUUUGACACCAUAUUCUGGGGCUGGGUGUUUGCUGGGCCAAGGGCCAAGGAUGGGGAAGGGAGUUAUGGAUGGACUGAAUAUUCAUAAUAAAAGAAUCUGUUAUACAACUUGGCUCUUAAAAAGUCCACCUCGGUGCCUAAGUAUGGAAUCUCGUGCUUGAGAACGCUGAUGAUUCAGCACCCGUGUGAGCCUCUCCCAUCCCAUCCCACCGAGAAAAGCAGCCCAAGGGCUGCUGCUAUCACCCCCCUUGGGUGCUAAAACACUGAAAGUGCUGCAAAAUGCCUCUCUUCUUAGAUCAAAUAUGAUAAUUAUUGAGUUGGACUUUAAUUCAAAUUCUCAGUUUUCCUUUCCAUAGUGUAGAUCGGUGACCACGAUAAGCCAGUGGCUGACUGUGUCUAAGUCAGUGUCCUCAGCUGUAAAAUGGGAACCUUAACACCUGCCUUCCCUUUCUGUGAAAACAGAUCAACACAGAAUUUAUAUUUUGUCUGAGUGAUGGCAGAUUGCUUAUUUCAGUAUGGUUCUUUUAGCUUAUAAGUGUAGAGACCAGUGAUGGGUGUAAUCAAUACAACUUUUAUGUAACUUCAGGACGAAACUAGGUUUCUUUUAGUUCUGAUCCUAAUUAAAAUUAAAAACUUUGUUUAAAAAAAAUAAAAUGAAGGAAGGAAGGGAAAAAUGUGGUUAUUUAAGGUGGGUUCUUUUAUGAGGGGGAGUUUCUUGGAUAUGAACUGGCAUUUGUCCAAUA